rnacentral:tRNA from 1 species
GCGACAGUAGCUCAGUUGGUAGAGCGCAACCUUGCCAAGGUUGAGGUCACGAGUUCGAACCUCGUGUGUCGCUCCA